rnacentral:rRNA from 1 species
CUACGUGCCAGCAGCCGCGGUAAUACGUAGGUGGCGAGCGUUGUCCGGAAUCAUUGGGCGUAAAGGGAGCGCAGGCGGGCCGGUAAGUCUUACUUAAAAGUGCGGGGCUCAACCCCGUGAUGGGAGAGAAACUAUCGGUCUUGAGUACAGGAGAGGAAAGCGGAAUUCCCAGUGUAGCGGUGAAAUGCGUAGAUAUUGGGAAGAACACCAGUGGCGAAGGCGGCUUUCUGGACUGCAACUGACGCUGAGGCUCGAAAGCCGGGGGAGCGAACGGGAUUAGAUACCCCGGUAGUCCUGGCCGUAAACGAUGGAUACUAGGUGUGGGAGGUAUCGACCCCUACCGUGCCGGAGUUAACGCAAUAAGUAUCCCGCCUGGGGAGUACGGCCGCAAGGCUGAAACUCAAAGGAAUUGACGGGGRCCCGCACAAGCGGUGGAGUAUGUGGUUUAAUUCGAAGCAACGCGAAGAACCUUACCAGGUCCU